rnacentral:tRNA from 1 species
UGGCUCAAUGGUAGAGUGCUUGCCUUGCAUGCAUGAGGCCCUGAGUUCAAUUCCUCAG